CAAGGGUUCCUGCUUAAAGUUAAUCUGAGCAGGGUUAGUCGGCCCCUAAGGCGAGGCCGAAAGGCGUAGUCGAUGGGAAGCAGGUUAAUAUUCCUGCACCCGGAGGUAGUGACGAAUGCCGUAAAUCGUCAUCCCUUAUCGGAUUGGGAUGGCGGUGAUGGUGUUCCGGGAAAUAGCUCCUCCGUACGAACCGUACCCGAAACCGACACAGGUGGGCAGGUAGAGUAUACCAAGGCGCUUGAGAGAACUAUGCUGAAGGAACUCGGCAAAAUGCUCCCGUAAGUUCGCGAGAAGGGAGACCUCACGACGGGCAACCGUUGUGGGGUGGCACAGACCAGGGGGUGGCGACUGUUUAUCAAAAACACAG
rnacentral:rRNA from 1 species